GAUGAAGAACGUAGCGAAAUGCGAUACGUAAUGUGAAUUGCAGAAUUCAGUGAAUCAUCGAAUCUUUGAAAGCACAUUGCGCCCGCCAGCACUCUGGCGGGCAUGCCUGUUCGAGCGUCAUUUCAACCAUCAAGCCCCAGGCUUGUGUUGGAGCCCUGCGGCUGCCGCAGCCUCCUAAAAGCAGUGGCGGGCUCGCUAUCACACCGAGUGCAGUAGAUUUCUCUUCGCUCAGGGCGUGUGGCGGGUUCCGGCCGUGAAACCCCCUACUCUUUAAGGUUGACCUCGGAUCAGGUAGGAAUACCCGCUGAACUUAAGCAUAUCAAUAAGCGGAGGA
rnacentral:misc_RNA from 1 species